UGAGGAAUAUUGCUCAAUGGGCGAAAGCCUGAAGCAGCAACGCCGCGUGCGCGAUGAAGGUCUUCGGAUCGUAAAGCGCUUUUGAGAGGGACGAGAUAGGACGGUACCUCUUGAAUAAGUCACGGCUAACUACGUGCCAGCAGCCGCGGUAAAACGUAGGUGGCAAGCGUUAUCCGGAUUCACUGGGCGUAAAGCGCGUGCAGGUGGCUUCGUAAGUUGGACGUUAAAUCUUUCGGCCUAACCGGGAGGUGUCGUUCAAUACUGCGGGGCUUGAGGGUAGAAGAGGGGGGUGGAAUUGCCGGUGUAGUGGUGAAAUACGUAGAUAUCGGCAGGAACACCUGUGGCGAAAGCGGCCCCCUGGUCUGCUCCUGACACUCAGACGCGAAAGCUAGGGGAGUGAACG
rnacentral:rRNA from 1 species